AACCGGGACCUACUGCUGUGUGAAUUCAUUCAGAAAAGGAAACAAAGUGACAGAGCCCCUAACUAGACACACUUUAUUUUCCUCACAGUACAUUCUACAAAUGCACAGGUGUUACAUCCAUACGUGUUCUACAAAUGCACAUGUACAUCCGUAAUACGUUCUACAAAUGCACAGGUGUUACGCAACAUUGGUAUAACGUU